rnacentral:rRNA from 1 species
UACGAGGGGGGCGAGCGUUGUUCGGAAUUACUGGGCGUAAAGCGCACGUAGGCGGCUUUGCAAGUUAGAGGUGAAAGCCCGGGGCUCAACUCCGGAAUUGCCUUUAAAACUGCAUCGCUAGAAUUGUGGAGAGGUAAGUGGAAUUCCGAGUGUAGAGGUGAAAUUCGUAGAUAUUCGGAAGAACACCAGUGGCGAAGGCGACUUACUGGACACAUAUUGACGCUGAGGUGCGAAAGCGUGGGGAGCAAACAGG